rnacentral:rRNA from 1 species
GAUGAACGCUGGCGGCGUGCCUAAUACAUGCAAGUCGAGCGAACAGACGAGGAGCUUGCUCCUCUGACGUUAGCGGCGGACGGGUGAGUAACACGUGGAUAACCUACCUAUAAGACUGGGAUAACUUCGGGAAACCGGAGCUAAUACCGGAUAAUAUAUUGAACCGCAUGGUUCAAUAGUGAAAGACGGUUUUGCUGUCACUUAUAGAUGGAUCCGCGCCGCAUUAGCUAGUUGGUAAGGUAACGGCUUACCAAGGCUACAAUGCGUAGCCGACCUGAGAGGGUGAUCGGCCACGCUGGAGCGGAGACGCGGUCCAGACUCCUACGUGAGGCAGCGGUAGGGAAUCUACCGCAAUGGGCGAAAGCUUGACGGAGCAACGCCGCGUGAGUGAUGAAGGUCUUCGGAUCGUAAAACUCUGUUAUGAGGGGAGAACAAAUGUGUAAGUAACGAUGCGCGUAUUAACGGAACCUGAUCAGAAGGCCACGGCUAACUACGU